CUACGGGCGGCUGCAGUGGGGAAUAUUGCACAAUGGAGGAAACUCUGAUGCAGCAACGCCGCGUGGAGGAUGACACAUUUCGGUGCGUAAACUCCUUUUAUAUGGGAAGAUAAUGACGGUACCAUAUGAAUAAGCACCGGCUAACUCCGUGCCAGCAGCCGCGGUAAUACGGAGGGUGCAAGCGUUACUCGGAAUCACUGGGCGUAAAGCGCGCGCAGGCGGCCUUUUAAGUUGGAUGUGAAAGCCUAUGGCUCAACCAUAGAACUGCAUCCAAAACUAUCAGGCUAGAGUGUGGGAGAGGAAGAUGGAAUUAGUUGUGUAGGGGUAAAAUCCGUAGAGAUAACUAGGAAUACCAAAAGCGAAGGCAAUCUUCUGGAACAUUACUGACGCUGAGGCGCGAAAGCGUGGGGAGCAAACAGGAUUAGAUACCCCAGUAGUC
rnacentral:rRNA from 1 species